CAUCACCUGAGAUGUUCGACACCCCUAUAAUUUUUGAACCUACAUCUACUUUUAUGGGACUCCUACAUUACUGAUUGGAUGUCAGGCCGCGCUACCUAUCGGCGGAAGGCAGAAGAUUAUGUUGCGGACACCCACCUAGCCCUGGCUAGGAGUCAAAAAUAUAGGAACGGCACCUUGGGGAAUUA
rnacentral:other from 1 species